AUUGAACGCUGGAGGCAUGCUUUACACAUGCAAGUCGAACGGUAACAGGCCGCAAGGUGCUGACGAGUGGCGAACGGGUGAGUAAUGCAUCGGAACGUGCCCAGUCGUGGGGGAUAACGCAGCGAAAGCUGUGCUAAUACCACAUACGAUCUAUGGAUGAAAGCGGGGGACCGUAAGGCCUCGCGCGAUUGGAGCGGCCGAUGUCAGAUUAGGUAGUUGGUGGGGUAAAGGCUCACCAAGCCAACGAUCUGUAGCUGGUCUGAGUGGACGACCAGCCACACUGGGACUGAGACACGGCCCAGACUCCUACGGGAGGCAGCAGUGGGGAAUUUUGGACAAUGGGCGCAAGCCUGAUCCAGCAAUGCCGCGUGCAGGAAGAAGGCCUUCGGGUUGUAAACUGCUUUUGUACGGAACGAAAAGGUUUGGGUUAAUACCCUGGGCCGAUGACGGUACCGUAAGAAUAAGCACCGGCUAACUACGUGCCAGCCGCCGCAGUAA
rnacentral:rRNA from 1 species